UCUCUAACUCGCUUGGAUUAGUAAGUUGCAAUACACUGAGUAUCAAUCAGUACGUUGCUUUUCGUUUCUUGUAUCUUAGCUUUGUAUUCUAAUUUAACACCACUAAAUGAUGUUGCGUCUGGCUUGUCUAGCUUUUUUUGUCCUUUUUCUAGCUAUUGUGACAGCAGAAGUUGAAGAAGUUGAGGAUACAUAUAGCCAAGAAUUAAAUGAACUUGCCGAAAGGGAGUUAGCUGAAAUUGUAAAACGACAAGGAUGGAAUAGAAAGCAUAGAAAAAGUAAGAAAGACAAAGGCAGCAAGGUAAUCGUGGAGUUAAAAGAUCGUCAAUGAAUUGAAGACAGCAGAUUCGAGCAGCUCAUGUUAUGCUGCAUGGAAUGUUAUAACAUUUAAAUAAAACGAAUAAAAUUCUCAAAUUAAUUUUUGUCACAUAAUUGCAUUAUAGCAUUAUACAUUAACGUGUAAUCCCUUUGGUUGCAUAAGAAAAUCAGGUAAAACUAUCGUUCAGAUCAUUUUUAUUCUUCAAAUCAGUAUAUGGAUAAUAUUUUAGAUUAUUUCGUGGACCAACAUUUAUUUAUAUUUAUAA